rnacentral:rRNA from 1 species
UACAGAGGUCUCAAGCGUUUGUUCGGAUUCAUUGGGCGUAAAGGGUGCGUAGGCGGCGCGGUAAGUCGGGUGUGAAAUCUCGGGAGCUUAACUCCGAAACUGCAUUCGAUACUGCCGUGCUUGAGGACUGGAGAGGAGACUGGAAUUUACGGUGUAGCGGUGAAAUGCGUAGAUAUCGUAAGGAAGACCAGUGGCGAAGGCGGGUCUCUGGACAGUUCCUGACGCUGAGGCACGAAGGCAGGGGAGCAAACGGGAUUAGAACCUACCUAG